GUGCUUGCUUUGGCAGCACAUAUACUAAAAUUGGAAUGAUACAGAGGUUAGCAUGGCCCCUAUGCAAGGAUGACACAAAUUCUUAAAGCGUUCCAUAUUAAA
ensembl:snRNA U6 U6 spliceosomal RNA